ensembl:lncRNA
GCCUGCCUCCCUGGGGGGCGGGGUGGGGGGGGCGAUGCCGUCUCUGCCCCUCCCCAGAAUGGAUCCUAGGUGUGUGAUACGGCCAUCUGAUGGCUGGCGCUUACAGAUGGUGAGGCUGGGGUCGGGAGGGAACACCAGGCUCUGUGGUCACCCAGCCAGGCUUGGAGAUGUUUCUCCUGAGCAGCGGAGGGACUGACCGAGACCCAGCGCAGGCCCCAGCCAAGGGUCCGGGGACGGGACAGGAGGGCCCACGGCCCGCGGACCAGACAGCUAGCAUGGCCGGAGCCAGCGGUGGGGGGGAGGAGCGCAGAGCUUUACAGAUGUUCACACCAGCUUGGCAGGGCACACGGCCUGGCUGGGCGCGCGCCAGCUGGGCAGCCCCUGGCAGGCCGGCGUGGGGCUCCAGCCUGCGUUCCUGCUGAGUCAGAGCGUGGAGCAGAGCACGGAGCCAGCAGCACGCACUCCGGCCGCACCCCCCUCCCUCCCCGGCACCCAGGGGCCACCCCAGACACUGCAAGUCGCCCCGGAAGCAGGCCAGGCCCCCGCCCCACACACCAGGCCCUCCGGAGCCCGGCACACAGGGGCACCUCCACACACGGUGGGCGUGGAAGGGGGCGACCCCGGACACUGCAGCCAUCCCCCGCCUCUGUGCUGCAGAUGGCUCACAGUGGCGCCUGGAGGGCCCUCCCCCUCCUGCGUCCUCCCUGCCGGAAGGAACUGCAGCGAGCUCCUCCAGGCCGAGAACCAUUCCACCCCUGGGGAAGCUCUGCCACCAGCAGGAGCGGCGGGGGAGGAGAGCCAGCAACCGCGCCCGCUGCCCUGCCACCGUCCUGUCCCUCCUGCCUGAGUCCUUUCUGCCUGCCAAGAGCUAAGAGCUCCCCAUUUUACAGACGGAGAAACUGAGGCUCCGAGACCGCCCAGGGACGCCCAGGCUCGCAUGUCUGAGCUGCCAUCAGUUCCGCAGAACCGGUCAGGCCGGGCUUCCUGGUCCUCACGUGCCCUCUGGGCCCACCUCGUGGGGCUGCAGCCAGACCUGGACGGCAGAUCCAGAGGAUCUAAGUGUUGGCGACCAGAGCAGCAGCCCAGGCUCAGAAGAGGCCACGCCUGGGGUCCAUACUCUGCCAUCACCAUUGCUGAAGAUGAUCUCCUGAGCACACCUCCUCCAGGAAGCCCACCCGGCAGCAGCCCAGCACUUUGAUCAGGCUUCCCGACCCGUGGCUGGGACUCAGUGCAUCCCUGGCACCUACCAGGGCCCAGCAUACAGAAGAGAUUUUUCACCAGACCUGGAUUUCUGAAGAACUUGGAAACAGGAAAACGUGCACAUUUCUGUGGGAAGCCCCCAGGUCCCUUGGGCAGCUGUCUCCGUGCAUGGGUGCU